AUUUGUAGCUGGAGGAGCUGGAGGUUUGUUGGCGCCAAAAACCGCUGCUGAUUUUAACGGUUUACACUGUAAAUCGGUCACCACGGAGAAUGAGCAUCGCAGACAAGAUGGAUGACAUGACUAAUUCCUCAAGAGCGAGAAGCAGAAAUGGUUCAGUUCCACUGAACCUGGGGAGAGGGUGAACGUCUCUGUGGCGGCGCUGUCAUGUCCAUCAAAGAUGAAUCAACAGAAUCGUGAUCGGUGGUGACGGUCAAAGUCUGUGAACCUGGCUGGCUGUGAAAAAACAUCUGGAGGUCUGAUCUGGUUCUGAUGGGGCUUUUUCUUUCAUCAUGGCCAAGUCCAAAGGAACCCUGAUGACUUUUGAAGACAUCAUAUAGGGUGAAGGUCUCCACUGGGUGUGCUCCUGUUCGGUCGAAGAAAGCAUCAUCCGUGAUCAUGGUAAUAUUCAGGUGGAGAGACGAGGAGCUGCAGUGCAUCCGUUUCUCAACUCGAGAGGAUUUUUCCACAUCGCAGCAUUAAAGUUUUUUUU